rnacentral:lncRNA from 1 species
CCCUUAGGAGCUUGUCAUGUGGUUAAAUCAAGAUUUCACUUGCACGUUCACUCAUAUAUGCUACUUCUACUCCGGAAGUACCAUCCACAUAUAUCCAUCCAUUUCCAUCUCCAGAAUUACCCAAAAAUAUUCUACUCCUAAUCCGGGAGAGAAUAGCCAAAAAUAUUUCUGUUUUCCCCUUGUGAAAUAAAUGCUCAAGUUAUCUUGUUACUACCACUUGCUAUAUUAUCUCAAGAGAUGAGUGCUCUAAUAAAAAAAAUAUACGAGGAAAUAAAAAGGAGCAAGUGCUCGGAACCUCGAAAGAAAAGAAAAGUGAGACGAGAGGUAAAAAUGGACAAGUGUCCGACAGUAGAAUUAGGGGUACAAGAUACCCACCUGAGAGAAAAGAAAAAUAUAGAGCAUCUCAUUCUCCUCAUAAAGUUUCAAAAAGCAAGGAAGGUAUGUAUCCCCUCAAAAGAGCAAAAGUAGAAUUAGACUUCCACCACCAUUGUUUUCACCAUUGUUAUCACCAUCAUCACCAUACACCAUUCAUUCGCCACACAUGCACAUCUUGAUUUGGCUUAUUGAUUUGUUUCUUUGGAUCCAUGGUUUGAUUAUGCAAUAAAUGUCUUGUAAGUAUGUAUACUUUAUCUCCCACCUAUGAGCUCCAGAUAUUAAAGCCUUAUUAGAGUAGGGUGAGAGAGAAGGCAAUGUCACUAUGCCUCAUACCACAAAUACUACAUAUCUUGAGAGAAGGCAUAUACCAUCAAUGCCUUGGCAAGGAUCCAAAAAUACCACAAAAGAGAGACCUGAGAGAAUUAUACAAGGAAUUUCUGAGUUUUAUUUGAAAAUCUGCAAAAAAACCCUAGAGCUAUAGCUGAUCAAGAAUAAGAGACAUGGCACUUGGCUAGACUGUUCUAUCUUUUAACCACUCAAGACAUAAGUGACAGUUACAAGUCCCAUGGUGAAGGUAAAGUAAGUAAGUUUUAAGUCUUGACAGUUUACUUUUACUCAGAGAUGAUAUCUUAUUUAAAAGCAUAUGUACCGUCAUUUUUUUUAAAAAAAAAGAUAUUGCAACUACUUAUGAUCCAUAGCUGAGUCUAUCCUUGC